GGCAUACCGUUUGUCUGCCUUUGACUCCAGUUAGCAUUGAAGUUCUAGCACGGCCCCUGUGCAAGGAUGACAUGCAAAUUCGUGAAGCAUUCCAUAUUUUU
rnacentral:snRNA from 1 species